AUUGAACGCUGGCGGCAGGCCUAACACAUGCAAGUCGAGCGGAUGAAGGGAGCUUGCUCCUGGAUUCAGCGGCGGACGGGUGAGUAAUGCCUAGGAAUCUGCCUGGUAGUGGGGGAUAACGUCCGGAAACGGGCGCUAAUACCGCAUACGUCCUGAGGGAGAAAGUGGGGGAUCUUCGGACCUCACGCUAUCAGAUGAGCCUAGGUCGGAUUAGCUAGUUGGUGGGGUAAAGUCCUACCAAGGCGACGAUCCGUAACUGGUCUGAGAGGAUGAUCAGUCACACUGGAACUGAGACACGGUCCAGACUCCUACGGGAGGCAGCAGUGGGGAAUAUUGGACAAUGGGCGAAAGCCUGAUCCAGCCAUGCCGCGUGUGUGAAGAAGGUCUUCGGAUUGUAAAGCACUUUAAGUUGGGAGGAAGGGCAGUAAGUUAAUACCUUGCUGUUUUGACGUUACCAACAGAAUAAGCACCGGCUAACUUCGUG
rnacentral:rRNA from 1 species